AAAUCGAAAACCACCCAGUCGUUCGGAAAGGGAAAAGUGACGCCGAUGCAAAUUGCAUUCAUCGUGGAUCGGUAUCUCAUUGACAACAACUUCCCUGAAACUCGCUCUGUCUUCAGGAAUGAGGCCUCUUCUCUCAUCUCCAAAUCUCCAGUUCAAGAGGCACCCAAGAGUUUGUUGAGUUUGGGGGCGAUGUUGAACGAGUAUAUCUCCUUGAAGGAGCAGAAAGUGAUGGUGGAUCAGGAAAGGGUCCGUUUGGAGCAAGAAAGAUUCAGGGUCCAGACCCUUCUGCAGGGCAUGCAAGAUGUAAUGAAUACUUAUAAUGCUAGUGGAAGUGCACCAGCGCCUAUGAUCCAGACCUCUACAGCAAGGCCUGCGGAUAUGGUUCCUCAACUAGGGCUCACUGGUGGAUCUGUAGCAGGCUGUCCUAUGUACACAUCGCCAACUGUUAUGCCAGUCUCUAUGCCCUCCAAUGUCAAUAAGGAGCGUGGUAAUCUAUCUUCCUCUGUCACAAAUUGCCCAUUAACGAGGAAGAGAUCAGGCUCAAAUUUUGCUGUAGAAGCCCCUCCCGUUGUUAAGAAAUCUCGGGGCAAGUUACCAUCCAGGAAAACACCAAAUAAAGGUACAUAUAAUCAAUCUGAUAAUGCAGCAACUACUCAAGAAACUGCUCAACUUGAUAAUGCAGCCACUACAAAAGAAGCAACUUGUUCAUCUGUGACUGGGUCAUCAACUCAUAACCGCACAACUAGUGGUCCGGUAGUUCAUGGAUCUACUGUUGCAAAGAGUUUGUUUAAUCAACCUUCGUUUUCCUCCCCAGCUCAUUCAACUGGCCCCAAAACACCACCACAAGCAAUUUCCUUUCACAAUGAUAAAUCUGUAUCUCCAGUUGGUAUCUCUUCCAAUGCUCACGGCAAUAACAACAAUACUCCUCAGGAGACUCCUACAAAUUGCACCGUGAUUACGUCAGAAAGAGUGAUUGUGAGCCCGUGCAAACAUGUGGCAUACACCAUGGAGAGAAACCAUUGCAUUUCUUCAUCCUCACCAGUCAAGACAACCUUCAAGAGGUUGAGUAUGAGGGAAAAUGUCAAAGGAAGGCUCGAUUUUGAUGGUUCUGAUGGGACUGCCAACUUGGAUAAACCAAUUGUUGAUGAGAUCUCAACGUCUGAGUCUGACAAGGAAGGAGAUAUUUUUGACAUUGAUUUGCCUAAUUUAGAUGCAUUUGGAGCUAACUUCUUCUCGGAAUUGUUAGUUGAUCUGGAUCUUGGCUUUGAAGGGAUAGGUUGUCCUUGCCAGCCACUCUUGGGUCCUCCUGCAGACACUGUUUCUGGGUCCUCGCAUGAAUCCAGGGAUGGUCGUUUGGGUGUUGAUCAAGUCACGUCAGAAUUUUCCUCAACUGUGACUGAGGUGAUCUCAGGAAAAGAUGUGAACAUUCAAGGUCCUGAUACUGUUACUGCUGUGAAGUCUAUAAGAAAGUGCAUCAUCUUAAGCCCUGCAAAAACCCAUAGUUCUAUGGAACAAGAGAAUCAUACGGACAGAAACUAAGAAGUUUGAAGAUUCUGGUGACACUUAACCUGACCUGGUACCAGUACAGAACUUACAGAAAGACUCUUAAUUAACCCAACAAUUUUCAAAUCCUGUAUUUGUCUUUCAUUUAGUAUCUGAUCAAUCAUUUGUGUCUUAGGUCACACUUCUAAGGUCCUAAAUUAUACCCACAAAAGCUGGGUAAGAUAACAUACGGUACACUUUCAGCACCCCAAGUAUAACAGCCUGGUUCAGCAGUGUUCCUUGUAUAUUGAUUUUAAAUUUCAAAUGUUAAACUGGUAGUUAUUCUUAUCAACAUGGAGGAUUCAAAUUGUUUAUUCAAGUGUUGUGGAAAAAAAUAGUUACCUUUCUUUUGCUAGUCAGUUGAAGUUUCUUACUUCAUCUGGCCUUCCAUAGAAAAUAUGGCAUUUUAGUGAACAAGGGGAAAAGUAGCUUUGCCUCAAGUGUAU
rnacentral:misc_RNA from 1 species